GACCCCUUAGCUCAGUGGUAGAGCGUGUGAUUCCAGCUUCGGUUGAUCCCUAAGUCUUGUCUCCACAAGGUCAAGCGUUCAACUCGCUUAGGGGUCA